UGGCCUCAGGUGAAAGGUCUUAUGACUAAAUCCGGUCGUACCAGAACUCAGACUGUUACCUCCUCCCUGGCCCCCAGGCAGCUGUGGGCCUGGAUUCUGAAGGACUGAUACAGGCUUAAUCACCAGCUGGAUGAAUCAGGCUUUGGGCCAUCCCCCUUGGUGCUUUUCCAGUGGAAGACUGGGCACAACAUCCCCAGAAUACCUCACUUCCGCAAGGAUAUAUAAAUGCUAGAGCCCUGAUACGUGUGCUGCUGGUCGGUCGCUGUCUUGUUGAGGUUUGUUAAAUUGAUAUAUGCAAAGAAGAAACAAGAAAAAGAGGAAGAAGAAAAGAAGGAGGAGGAGGAGAACAACAACAACAACAACAACAACAACUUCUAUAUCCUGAGAGCUAGGAUCAACCUCGCCCCCAGGGAACUAGAUACCCCUAACCAGCAGAAAGUAGCCUAAUGAUAAAGUAACCCUCUUUCCCCUCUUUUUUUUCUCUCCUAUCAAGUGUUAGGGGGUUGAAAGAGUGGAAUAAGGGUAGAAGGAAGAAGAAUCCACAAAACAGCCAAAAUUCCAGCUAUAGCCUACAGAGGAUAGACAUUGCACCAAGAACCUUCCAUACCCGGAGUCUCAGAACAGUCUGAGAAGGGUAAUAUUGUUAGAGCUCUGAUUGUACACAAGGAAAGUGUCACGCUGCUUGUCAGCUC
rnacentral:lncRNA from 14 species